rnacentral:rRNA from 1 species
CCUACGGGAGGCAGCAGUGAGGAAUAUUGGUCAAUGGACGAGAGUCUGAACCAGCCAAGUAGCGUGAAGGAUGACUGCCCUAUGGGUUGUAAACUUCUUUUAUAUGGGAAUAAAAUGUUCCACGUGUGGGAUUUUGUAUGUACCAUAUGAAUAAGGAUCGGCUAACUCCGUGCCAGCAGCCGCGGUAAUACGGAGGAUCCGAGCGUUAUCCGGAUUUAUUGGGUUUAAAGGGAGCGUAGGUGGAUUGUUAAGUCAGUUGUGAAAGUUUGCGGGUCAACCGUAAAAUUGCAGUUGAAACUGGCAGUCUUGAGUACAGUAGAGGUGGGCGGAAUUCGUGGUGUAGCGGUGAAAUGCUUAGAUAUCACGAAGAACUCCGAUUGCGAAGGCAGUUCACUGGACUGCAACUGACACUGAGGCUCGAAAGUGUGGGUAUCAAACAGGAUUAGAUACCCCAGUAGUC